rnacentral:snoRNA from 1 species
ACUGAGUUUGUCUCAAUGGGGCUUCUGUCCUACAGCCACACAUCACUGGAAACACCCCAUAUAGUUAAUUGUGGUUUUGCUUUAUUCACAGGACUAUCUCUUAGAUCUGUGGGAAGUAACUACAAGACAGCU